CCUGACCCUAGAAGUGUAGGUGUGGCUGCCGUGUCAUGUGUGCAUCAGUAGGUGACAGAGAGAAGAGAGGCUAUGUCUAUACUCAGUGUUCUGACCUAUGAACAUCUGAAUGUUUAGUAGCCUAACACU